AUACGGAAGGUCCGGGCGUUAUCCGGAUUUAUUGGGUUUAAAGGGAGCGCAGGCGGAGAUGCAAGCGUGACGUCAAAUUUCGGGGCUCAACCCCGUCUCGCGUCGCGAACUGCGUCCCUUGGUUGCGGGAAGGGGAGGCGGAACUCGUGGUGUAGCGGUGAAAUGCAUAGAUAUCACGAAGAACUCCGAUCGCGAAGGCAGCCUUCCGGCCCGUCAACGACGCUCAUGCUCGAAGGUGCGGGUAUCAAACAGGAUUAGAUACCCUGGUAGUCCGCACAGUAAACGAUGGACACCCGCGGUUUGGCCUAUAUGGCUGAGCCGCCAAGCGAAGGCGUUAAGUGUCCCACCUGGGGAGUACGCCGGCAACGGUGAAACUCAAAGGAAUUGGCGGG
rnacentral:rRNA from 1 species